CUUAUGGAGUCUUCUGUGUGGUAACAACGCAUUUCAUUCUAUCUAGUGUUCUAUUUUUUAAUUUUGGUAGACAUUUAUUAAGAUUCAGUUUCAAAGUGAGAAAAGAUAUAUGUUUGUUAUUCCUGUCUGGUAUUAGCGAUUCAAACUGCUGACCUAAAUAAUUCCAAUAUCAUUUUUACAGUGAACAGCGACCUAGAUAAACGGUUAUCUUCGCAUUUGCCCUUCUUCCGGAUCUCAGCCGCUAAUAACCGGAUGCUUGAUCAGCAUUACUCAAUACUUUGUCCGGCCGCAAAAAAAAAUUGGGAGAUUGAAGUACAACAGACUCAUAUGGCCCUAUAAUAAUCCAGCGGCAAUAAUCAAAUGAUUUGAAAUAAGUGGAAGGAGGCAGGUGUGGCCGGGAAAAGUUUUUUGAAAAUUACAGAUUGAUUUCAUUUUAAUUGCGCUACGUGGUUGUUGAUGUCCAUAUGCACACUCUGCCUAACGCCUUUCGAAUGUCGGGGCUUCUCGUGCCUUUCCUACUGGCGGCUUUAACGUGUCGGCCGACUUUCUAACUGGAAUUGUUUGACACGAAUUUUCCAAUUUUGGAAUUGGAUUUUUUUAAAUGCCUAUUCUUUAGGCAAUAGAAAGAUCGGAUUUUUCAUAGCUCUUUAGGUACGAUGGGAAAACAGCGAUUCAUAUUUCACCGGGGUUGUAACUCAGUGGUAGAGUGCUCGCUUCGCAUGUGAGAAGUCAGGGGUUCAAUCCCCCUCAACUCCAAUUGUGUUCACUUUUUAAGAUCAUAUUUAUUGAACACGAUUCAAUUAAUUUAGAUGAACAGAGUUUUUACGUGUCGUUGUGAAGAUAAUUCGCGAUCAUAUUUAAUAUCCAGAAGAUUAUUCACCUCCCAUCCUAACCCGUAUUUUAAUUUCAUUAUUCUAAACGAUUCUAAAAUGAACUUAAAUGAUUUAAAAUUCAAUCUAAUGCAAAAUGUUUCCU